rnacentral:tRNA from 1 species
GAGGGUAUAGCUCAGUCGUAGAGCGCAUGCUCGACAUGCACAAGGUCCUGUGUUCAAUUCUCAGUAUCUCCA